UAGUCCUGUGAGUGCAAAAUACUUCAUGACUGAGUUCCAUCCAGCGUGGCAGCGCAGCACUCGGAAAUGACCGUGAUCACAAUUCUCUUCUGGCUCCUGACCUCUUACAUUCAUGAGUCCAGAGCUCAGGUGACUGUGACUCAGAGCCCUGCAGUGAAAUCUGCUCAACCAGGAGACACCGUCACUCUGAGCUGUAAAUCCAGCACUCCUGUGUAUGUUUGGUCUAAUGGUGAUAAAGCAGUGUUCUGGUACCAGCAGAGACCUGGUGAAGCUCCUGAACUUCGCAUCAAAUAUGCCACAAAACGUGAAUCAGGGGUUCCUGACCGUUUCAGUGGCAGUGGGUCUGGCAGUGAUUUCACUCUGACCAUCAGUGGAGUCCAGGCUGAAGAUGCAGGAGAUUAUUACUGUCAGAGUUACCACAGUGGUGGAGUGUACACACAGUGA